AGAGUUUGAUUCUGGCUCAGGAUGAACGCUGGCGGCGUGCUUAACACAUGCAAGUCGAGCGAAGCGAUUUGACGGAAGUUUUCGGAUGGAAGUCAGAUUGACUGAGCGGCGGACGGGUGAGUAACGCGUGGGUAACCUGCCUCAUACAGGGGGAUAACAGUUAGAAAUGACUGCUAAUACCGCAUAAGCGCACAGUGCCGCAUGGUACGGUGUGAAAAACUCCGGUGGUAUGAGAUGGACCCGCGUCUGAUUAGCUGGUUGGUGGGGUAACGGCCUACCAAGGCGACGAUCAGUAGCCGACCUGAGAGGGUGACCGGCCACAUUGGGACUGAGACACGGCCCAAACUCCUACGGGAGGCAGCAGUGGGGAAUAUUGCACAAUGGGGGAAACCCUGAUGCAGCAACGCCGCGUGAGUGAAGAAGUAUUUCGGUAUGUAAAGCUCUAUCAGCAGGGAAGAAAAUGACGGUACCUGACUAAGAAGCCCCGGCUAACUACGUGCCAGCAGCCGCGGUAAUACGUAGGGGGCAAGCGUUAUCCGGAUUUACUGGGUGUAAAGGGAGCGUAGACGGCGAGACAAGUCUGAAGUGAAAGCCCGGGGCUCAACCCCGCGGACUGCUUUGGAAACUGCCUUGCUGGAGUGUCGGAGAGGUAAGUGGAAUUCCUAGUGUAGCGGUGAAAUGCGUAGAUAUUAGGAGGAACACCAGUGGCGAAGGCGGCUUACUGGACGAUAACUGACGUUGAGGCUCGAAAGCGUGGGGAGCAAACAGGAUUAGAUACCCUGGUAGUCCACGCCGUAAAC
rnacentral:rRNA from 1 species